rnacentral:rRNA from 1 species
GGCCUUGACAUACUAAGAACUUUCCAGAGAUGGAUUGGUGCCUUCGGGAACUUAGAUACAGGUGCUGCAUGGCUGUCGUCAGCUCGUGUCGUGAGAUGUUGGGUUAAGUCCGCAACGAGCGCAACCCUUUUCCUUAUUUGCCAGCGGGUAAUGCCGGGAACUUUAAGGAUACUGCCAGUGACAAACUGGAGGAAGGCGGGGACGACGUCAAGUCAUCAUGGCCCUUACGGCCAGGGCUACACACGUGCUACAAUGGUCGGUACAAAGGGUUGCUACCUCGCGAGAGGAUGCUAAUCUCAAAAAGCCGAUCGUAGUCCGGAUCGCAGUCUGCAACUCGACUGCGUGAAGUCGGAAUCGCUAGUAAUCGCGGAUCAGAAUGCCGCGGUGAAUACGUUCCCGGGCCUUGUACACACCGCCCGUCACACCAUGGGAGUUUGUUGCACCAGAAGUAGGUAGUCUAACCGCAGGGAGGACGCUUACCACGGUGUGGCCGAUGACUGGGGUGAAGUCGUAACAAGGUAGGCGUAGAUGA